rnacentral:rRNA from 1 species
GUCCAUUAUCUGGAUCGGGGACAGUGCAUGGUAGGCAGUUUGACUGGGGCGGUCUCCUCCCAAAGCGUAACGGAGGAGUUCGAAGGUACGCUAGUUACGGUCGGACAUCGUGACGAUAGUGCAAUGGCAUAAGCGUGCUUAACUGCGAGACUGACAAGUCGAGCAGAUGCGAAAGCAGGACAUAGUGAUCCGGUGGUUCUGUAUGGAAGGGCCAUCGCUCAACGGAUAAAAGGUACUCUGGGGAUAACAGGCUGAUACCGCCCAAGAGUUCAUAUCGACGGCGGUGUUUGGCACCUCGAUGUCGGCUCAUCUCAUCCUGGGGCUGUAGCCGGUCCCAAGGGUAUGGCUGUUCGCCAUUUAAAGAGGUACGUGAGCUGGGUUUAAAACGUCGUGAGACAGUUUGGUCCCUAUCUUCCGUGGGCGCUGCAGAUUUGAGGAAGCCUGCUCCUAGUACGAGAGGACCGGAGUGGACACACCUCUGGUGUAUCGGUUG